AAAAGCUGAAGCCAGAUCUUAAUUUGAGAGCAGAAUAGCUGAGGCUUUGAAAAAAAGGGAAAGAAUAGGAAGGCAGUCACUGUGCACCCAAAAAUCUCCUUAGCAGCCUUCAUAAUACAGAGCUCUGUAAGGCACUUUUCACUCUUAGAUUCUGUCACCUGUGUGUCCCUGCCUCUGCCCUUUUGCUCUUGUGCCAGUGCUUGCUCAGGCAGGUUCUGUACCAGAAUUGAAGGGAUGUGUUUCUGAAAGCUGGACUUCAGAAGGAGUCUCCUUUCUGACUCUUCUUUGCUCUGCUCCUUUUUGGAAAGGUCAGAAUCCCUGUGGGAAGGACCUCUGUGUCACUGAGGGCCAGUUCACGGUGUCAUCUUUGAGAGUGACAGAAGUCCCAGGACCUCUCAGUGCCAGCCUGAACCCUGGAGAUCUGGCAAAGGGCCAGGGCUGGAACUCAUUUGUUUCCUCCAGACCUGGCAUUGUGUGUUUCUAUCUGAAGUGGAUCAGGAGUCUGCUCUGCAAACCAGGAG
rnacentral:lncRNA from 1 species